rnacentral:snoRNA from 1 species
AUUGCACUCCAGCCCAGUGACAGAGUGAGACCAUCUCAACAACAACAAAAAAACAACAAAGAGACAGCUAAUCUAGGGUGCUACAUGUGGAAGAAGUUUCUGCAAAAACCUCAAGGAGGGACUCUGGCCAAAUGAGUGGAAUUUGAUCGUAAUCCUUGCUAAAAGU